ensembl:processed_transcript Tctn2 tectonic family member 2
UCAUUGAUUGGUGGUUGCCAUGGCUGCAGGCAUUUAGCUUGGCAAUAUGGCGUCGGCUGGUCGGCGAAGGCCGCCACUUUUUCUCUUCCAGGCUAUUCUGGGUUUCUGAGGCAGGCCGGCCCGGGUAUGGGCUCUCUGUCACCGCUCAGCCUCCUGUGGGGACUCCUCCUGCUGCAGGGCGUCCUGAGGCCGCUGCGCGGGGACCCGGGUGUGUAUGGUGAGGGUAUGGCCAGCAUGGCCCAGGCUGAGGGAAUCUGGCUCUUAAAGGGCCAGACCUGGGGUUCCUAGGAUCCCGGAAGCCAGGCCACAUAAAAAACCAGCACACGCACCCCAGGUACAGGUUCUGUACCCGUUAACCCCUCCCCGCACAUCCUUCCUUCCCUCAGUUUUCAUCCCACCUUUCAUCCGGAUGUCCAGCCCUGAGGUCCGAGCGACCCUGGUCGGAGGCAGCGAGGAUGUCGCUGUGUCUCUGAGUCUGCUGCAGGUCGAGGAAGGAGUGUUGCCAGUUCCUACUUGUGGCGGCCGCCGCAAUGAGACAGUGGAUUGGAAUGUGACUGUGAGCCCCCGAGAGAGCACGCUGGAAGUGACCAUAAGGUGGAAGAGGGGUCUAGACUGGUGCUCCGCAGACGAGACAGCC